rnacentral:tRNA from 2 species
GGGCCUAUAGCUCAGGUGGACAGAGCAACAGCCUUCUAAGCUGUGGGUCGCAGGUUCGAGUCCUGCUAGGCUCGCCA